CUACUUACCCAACAGGGGAUAGACUGAGAUCAAUGAUGUGGCCUUCCUCGGUAAGGGUAUUCCCUGCAUUCCAGGUAUGCUGACACCUGUGAUUUCCCCAAAUGUGGAGAAGCUGACUGUAUCAUUUGUAGUGAAAGUAUUUACACCUUUAA
rnacentral:snRNA from 9 species